rnacentral:rRNA from 1 species
GAUGAACGCUGGCGGCGUACCUAAUACAUGCAAGUCGAGCGAACAGACGAGGAGCUUGCUCCUCUGACGUUAGCGGCGGACGGGUGAGUAACACGUGGAUAACCUACCUAUAAGACUGGGAUAACUUCGGGAAACCGGAGCUAAUACCGGAUAAUAUAUUGAACCGCAUGGUUCAAUAGUGAAAGACGGUUUUGCUGUCACUUAUAGAUGGAUCCGCGCCGCAUUAGCUAGUUGGUAAGGUAACGGCUUACCAAGGCUACGAUGCGUAGCCGACCUGAGAGGGUGAUCGGCCACACUGGAACUGAGACACGGUCCAGACUCCUACGGGAGGCAGCAGUAGGGAAUCUUCCGCAAUGGGCGAAAGCCUGACGGAGCAACGCCGCGUGAGUGAUGAAGGUCUUCGGAUCGUAAAACUCUGUUAUUAGGGAAGAACAAAUGUGUAAGUAACUAUGCACGUCUUGACGGUACCUAAUCAGAAAGCCACGGCUAACUACGUG